UUGCCGUUCACGGGCUAAAAUGGGCCGGAAACUGGUUCCGUCCAGCCCACGAGCACACCAUCAGCCCCAUCGCCGACUGAGGUCUCUCUCGCCGGACCCGGAGCGGGCCAGACACCACGCAGCGCGCGGCGCCCCUCCUCGCCGUCGACGACGACCCUCGCGGCGGCGACGAUGUCUGGGGCCUUCGCUGAGGCGGAUCCCAGGAGGUAUACAUUAUACAGUAGAUCUCAUCUCGUCUGGUUGAUAUCAAUUUCUUCGUUGGAUGCAGCUUAGCUGCAAGUAACCCAAUUAAUUUGGUUUUGUGGUUUCAGACAUUUCCGCUUUGCAAUCACGUGAGUAUCAAUUGCUAAUUUAGUACUCCUAAUUGGAUCGAUCCUUUCCCCCUUUUAGUCAAACAAACCUGUUUUCCCCCUUUAACCGGGUGCAAUUGUUUCUCUUUUGACCUUUUAGUUAAGCACAAUGUCUGUCUGCUUGUUUUGUUUUGUUUUGUUUUGUUUUGUUUUUUGCAGGGUGAGUGUAAGUUUUCACCUUAGGAGUAUUACCAAGAGCUAUCGAGUACUCCCUCCGCUCUAGUUCAAAUCCGUGCCAAUCUUUAUGGGACGGAGGGAGUAACAUUUUUGGUAUGUGUGUUUGAACCAGUGUAAGCUACUGAUCGUGUGUCAUCAUGUAUAAUAUCAUUUUAUGCCAUGUGACAGUCGAUGGAAGAAUAUGUGUUGCUCAGCAAAAAAUUGUUUCAGGUACUGAAAGAACUCUUGCAGCUUGUACUAAAUGUGUAUUUGGUUCUAUUUUGUCUCUGCAUCAUAUAUGACAUGAUGACUAUACAAGGUGCUGAAGACUUGAGGAUAUGGCAUUUACUGAAGCAGUGGAUCUUGCAGCUCGCUUUCUCAAUAUCUAUGUACAUUCGGUUUUGUCCAGGUAAGACACCUCACUCUAUGACUCCUUUUUGGGAAACUAAGCAUCACCUCUCUCACUUAACUCCUAGUUUAGCUGCUGGGGAGCAUUAAGUGGUGUUUUCCAUUUGGGAUUGUGAAUGUAGCAUUGUGUUUGAUCUUUCUUACCAUAAGGGUUGUACAUAGAGUGCAUAAAACCAGUUAACACCAACAGACCAAAAAAGGAACAAUUUCUCAUCAAUUUCGGAGUAGCAAUCCAAACUGUGUUUUGCAGUGAUGGUUGGAACUCAAGCCCAAAAAACACAGAAACUUCUAGAUGCAAUCAAUUGAUCAAUAUUUCCAUCACAAUGGUAAUAAAAGAUUUUCAUUUAUGAAUUCGCAAGCAAAAAAGAAAACGAGGCACUGCAGCUAAACUAAAAUCAAGCUGUGUUUGUUUCUGUUGGAUAUUAUUAUCCAAGCCAAGUAGAAGAUAUUAUCUAAUUAUCAGUUAGCCUGAGACACCCAGGCAAAAUGGUCAUCUUUGUCUAUUACAAAAUUGGAGCUCUUUUUUUAUAUGAGGAUUAGGAAUGUGGAGAGGAAGAAGUCAUCCAAGAGCAUCGCAGUGACAAAUUACAGGCACCAGGGAAGGGGUGAUGAGGCGGCUUGGGGCGACAGAUGCCAGCGCGAUGGCCUGUGGGAG
rnacentral:lncRNA from 1 species